rnacentral:ncRNA from 1 species
AAGAGCCUGAUGAAUCGAGAGGUGCACGUCGGGUUCUGUGAGAGCGUGAAGGUGCGAUCUCUUUGCGCUACUCGAC